AUUCCAUGAUGAGGGCAUCUUUGUAAUAGUUCUUUAAACAUUUUCCACGCUUCAUAUAAGGACUCAUCAUCCAUUUGUUGGAAGGUAGUGAUCUCAUUCCUCAACUU
rfam:Gossypium raimondii Chr06_contig_297, whole genome shotgun sequence.